UCAUAUUCUUCAGGUGUUUGAAGUACCUGUGGAGUAGAAUUUGCAAUCAACAAAUUUCGAUGGCUCGUCCAU